AGAGUUUGAUUGGCUCAGGAUGAACGCUAGCGGCAGGCUUAACACAUGCAAGUCGAGGGGCAGCGCGUGCAGCAAUGCAUGGCGGCGACCGGCGCAAGGGUGCGUAACGCGUGAGCAAUCUGCCCGUAUCAGGGGGAUAAGCGAUGGAAACGUCGUCUAAUACCGCAUAACAACUUAGGAGGCAUCUUUUGAGUUUGAAAGCUUUGGCGGAUACGGAUGAGCUCGCGAGACAUUAGCUAGUUGGCGGGGUAACGGCCCACCAAGGCUGCGAUGUCUAGGGGUUCUGAGAGGAAGGUCCCCCACAUUGGAACUGAGACACGGUCCAAACUCCUACGGGAGGCAGCAGUGAGGAAUAUUGGUCAAUGGACGAGAGUCUGAACCAGCCCAAGUAGCGUGAAGGAUGACUGCCCUAUGGGUUGUAAACUUCUUUUAUAAGGGAAUAAAGUGAGGGACGUGUCCCUUUUUGUAUGUACCUUAUGAAUAAGGAUCGGCUAACUCCGUGCCAGCCGCCGC
rnacentral:rRNA from 1 species